rnacentral:rRNA from 1 species
CACGUAGUUAGCCGGAGCUUAUUCCUCAGGUACCGUCAAAUUCCUCUUUCUUCCCUGAUAAAAGAACUUUACAUUACGAAUAACUUCUUCGUUCACGCGGCGUUGCUCGGUCAGGGUUCCCCCCGAUUGCCGAAAAUUCCCUACUGCUGCCUCCCGUAGGAGUAUGGACCGUUCUCAGUUCCAUUGUGGCCGUUCAACCUCUCAGUCCGGCUACGCAUCAUCGCCUUGGUAGGCCCUUACCCCACCAACUAGCUAAUGCGCCACAGGCCCCUCCUUAAGCAGAUCUCUCUUUUAAAUAUAAAAGAUUCUUCCUCUAUAUCCUAUCCAGUUUUAUCCAUCGUUUCCAAUGGCUAUCCUCGUCUUAAGGGUAGGUUACCUAUGUAUUACUCACCCGUUCGCCACUAAAGUACCCGAAGGUACUUCCGUUCGACUUGCAUGUAUUAGGCACGCCGCCAGCGUUAAUCCUGAGCCAGGAUCAAACUC